rnacentral:lncRNA from 1 species
GCACCUGUUCUUUCUGAGCCGUGCGUUUCUGAGCUGGCACACAACACACCAACCUUGUACUGCUGCUGAUUGUCGCACAUGUACUCAGCUCUCCCAUGUGAUGGUGGACACCCCGAGGGAAUCCCAUUAAAUGCAGCUUCUGAUCCAGGAAUGAGGGCAGAGGACCACAUGGCACAGAAGACACAGGAGCCCAUGAUGCCACCUUGGGCCAGGCUUGGAGCAGAGAAAUCCCAGCCUUUUAUAAUUAAGGGGAAGAGGACCAAUGCCAGAACGGACAGUCGUGGUGCAGACCCACUUCGUGUCUGGGUGGCCAAAGGUGAGAUAAUAUUUUCAAAGAACUGCUGGAUGAAGGACAUAGAUUCAAGUGGACUGCAAGUGGGGCCUAUCAGAUGGAAGACUGUGGGACGAGAACCAUAGAGUCUUAUCCUUCUCUAGUUUAUUUUAUCUUUUUUUUUUUUUUUUAAGAACAUAAGAGGUAAGUCCUUGAGUCUUGGGGUCACAUGGUCUGAGUCUGCACUCUGGAAAAUGCCACUUGGAAACCUGGUCCCACCCUAUUUGGGAGCCCACCAGUCCCAGGGAUCCUGUACUUACACAAGGCCAAUGGGUUUCCCAAAGAAGGCGAGGCCAGAUUUCUGCCUCCUGGCAGCUGCCUGCCGCUGCAGCUGGGGAGGUAGCAUGCUAGCCUCCUGGGUAUUUCUGAACUGAGUUGUGAUAUAGUAUGUGAGGAUGGCAUCUGGCACUUAGUAAGUUUUUUAUCUUGGUACCACCAGCAUCACCACCGCCACCACCACCACCGCCUUCUUCUAAGGCCUGGAGAUGAUUGAAUAUGGAGAUUUGCCCACACCGCCAUAGCUCCUGGCAGCCUCCCUGGGUCCGGAGAGUGUGGGAACAGGGCACUGGCCUGUGUCUGAUGGCUAGCACUGCAGCGGAUCACAAAGCAGCGGCAAAGGGAGCGGCCCGCUCAGAUAGGGCGCUGGAGAUGAAAGCCACCGUGUUUGCCUUUCCAAAGUGCCGCUGUGUUCCUGCACGCCUGCAGCUUCCUCUGCCCUGCUGGGUUUUUUUUUUUCUUCUUCCCAGUUCCUCUCAGUGAUAUCUUAAGAGGCAAACUUCCAGCACUAACAGGAGGUCUUUUGUUCUUUUUUUCUCUAAGUGGACUUUAACCCAGUUACGACAGAUGAGUCACUGUAAAAACAAACAAAUAAUAAUACUCCAUUUUCUUAAAGGCUCUUCCAGGCCUGCUGACAGAAAAGGGGGAACCUGACACUGCACUGGGCCUUUGGGGCUUCUCCCUGCCCCGACCUUCUGGAAGCACAGUUCGGAAGAACCUUCCAGAACAUAGCAGAGCCCAGCACUGUGAAACUGUUCAGCAAGGCUCUGGGUUGUUUGGAAUUGCAUCUGAUGUGGGGUGGCCUGGGGGCUGCGAGGAAUCUGGGUGUCGGCACAGUCCUGGUUGAGAUUUACAGCCUUAGAUUCAAGUAAAUUCUGGACUUGUCUCCCUUCACACAUUAGUUUCUCCAUAUGUGAAACAGGGUUAUUAGAUACUUCAUGAUUCUAUCAGGAGGGAUUUUGCAGCGAAUAUUUUCUGCUAUUAGAAGACCUACAAGUGCAGUCUGCAUCUGUUCAAUAAAAGUCCACCAGGCCUUGGGAAUUGGGGCUACAGAGAUGAGAGAGACCCAUUUCCUGCCCUUGGGUAAUUAGACAUAUAAGUAAAUGAAUACAGCGACUUCUGAAACAGGUAAGAUGCAACAUGUGCCAAAGUGGGGUAAGGAAGGGGAUGACCAUUCGAUCCAGAAAUGUUGGGAAAGUCUUCUUAGAGAAGAUGGUAUUUGAGCUAGGUCUGGAAGCGUGACUAGAUAUUCAUCAGAUGCUCUGGGAAGAGUGGGGCAGAUAUGGUAGGCAGAGGGAGCAAGGGGCAAGCCAAGGGCUGAAGCCCAUGGCACAUUAGGACCCACCCUAUGCAAACUGUCUCCAAUCUUUGUCCAGGCGUUUUUGCCUAUAUGCUUAAAUGGAGCUGGACUCUCAAUUUCCCUAAGAAGGAGCCAUGUCUGGACGAACAUGCUCAGGACUCAGGUCUGAGAUGUCUUCUGGCUCCAUCAAAUGUUAAGGCCUGCAUUGGGCCACUAGCCCACAGGUUCAUUGCUAAAGAGCACAGCUAUGACUUCUGAUGGGUGAUGGGGUGCAUGUUCUAUAGAAGGCUGUCACCCACUGUGUUCUGACUUUUUGAACCUCAGAUACAUAGUGAAGUACACUCAUGUCUAUGAUGAAAACAUCAGUCUAAUUGCCUGGAAAGCUCCUACUCAUUGUUCAGCCCAACUUCACGGUCUUUACUGUGAAGAGCUUCUAGAAGCUGUGAGCAGAAUUAACAUGCUUCUUUAUGCACCCAUGACUUCUUACCUUGCUUUAGUCUUUCACCAUAGUCUAUAAUAAUUUCUGAGUCUCCCUGAGUGCCCUUCUCCUAGACUGUGAACUCC